CCCAUGCGCUGUAGCUUGCUGUGAAUGGAGAGCUGGCUGCUAGAAGGGGGUGGCACUGUGAAUGGAGAAGAAUUUUGUUUCCUUUAAAAGGAAGACCGUAAUAUUGCUUGUGCAAAUUCCCCAUAGAAAUGAAGAAUGGAACAAAAGAAUAACAAAGAUGUGCACAUUGCUAUGAGAAAAGGCAAUUUGUAAAAACAAUUCAGGAAACGUGAUAUCGGGAGGUGCUAUGUGCUGAAUCGGGAUCUCAUUAGUAAGGUUGAUCUGGAUGGUGAAUGGAGUUUUUGUGAUGGUCAACAGAGGCUGUGAGAAAUUUAGUUCAUAUCAACAACAUGUAGCUGUUAAUUUUACCAAAGGCUAAUGAUAAUGUUGUAUGUGGUACAUCAGGCACUUAUUGGAGAGGUCUGGCUCUUUCUCCUGCCCCCAAAAUAGGUUUUUCACCAGUGUUACUUUUUCCUAUAUGAAAAAAGGUUCAGUGUUUCAGAAAAAACCUGACCAGCAUCAAUUCAAGAAGUUUUUACACUGUUAUUAUAAAUGCUAAAUUUUUAGGUCCAUAACCAUGGUAAAAUUUCUCUUAGAGUCAAAUUAAAAAAAUGAAGGCUUUAAAAAAACUGAAAUAGCUCAUGGAUGGAUUAAACAAGUUAACGCACAGUCAUGUAGGAAAUUGUUACCUCAUUGGUUUUAAUUUUACUGCAGUUUUCAGUAUGCUUUUCAAGAGGUGAACUUUCAUGCUGAGCAAAUUUUAAAUCAUGUAUACAUAUUUUUUUAGUUAUUUGUCCAAUAUUUUGUUACUCUACAUUUGAGCAAUUAUUCAAACAUGAAUGUCUGUACUAAGCCCUUUGUCCUAGUUGAGACUGCAAUGGGCUCAUUGUUCUGUGUUUGUGACAUCAGUCCUAUGCUGUGGAAACCAAUAUAUCACAAAUUCAAUAUGGCAGGAUCAUGGGAAGAUGAUUAGACAGAGCAAAAAUUUAAAUAUUUAAGGCCAAAUCCUUAAGUCUUUACUCCAGUAAAACUCCAUUUGCUUUAGUGUGUGUCCUGCCUUAGUGAAAACUAAGGACCAUAGCAACUGGCACACAUCACCUACCAAAUAUUGCAAAACUUAGAAAAACAAGUGGAUAGAUUUGUAUUGGUUUAUGUUGUGAAAUUUUCAAAUGCCAGGCUUCUCUCUCUCUCUCUCUCUCUCUCUCUCUUUAAAAGUGAUUUUUCUUUUUGCACUUCAUUACACCAACAGCUGUAAAAUACUUCCCUCCCCCUCCUUUAGAAUAUAUGAUCUUUGACCCCUGUUAUAAAUUGUUCCUUCAUACACCUGUCUGGCACAUGAACCAUGCAAAAUCUUUGAGUUAAGCUCUGGCACAAGGUAUACUUUUGUGAAAACUUAAUCUUCCAAAUAUCGGUUUCUGUCAAGAAAAUUUGACCAAGCUGAAAGAGCAUAUUGAGUUCAGAGAUUGCUUUACUUUAAUUGCAGAGAGCUGCUAUGGCAGUACAUCAGUUUUAUGAGUAUUCUUUCAUAUCAUGGAAAAACAUAUUUGUACUUGGUAUAUUGUUAAAUAUGCCUGUCAAAAGGGAAGCACCCAUUUCUAUUGAGUAGAGGAUCUAGCUUUUUCCCUUUUUAAAAAAAAGUUACCAGAUUAUAUUAUUGGUUGCAUUUAGUGGUAAUUGGAUAUUGAUUUUACCACCAGUAUUUUGAAAUCUUAUUAAUCUAGUCUUGUAAGGCCUUCAUUAAAAUAGCAAAUUGAUAUGCCGAGUGAAGAGGGUUCACAACCAGUUUGUUCAAUGUUUUGUUGGCAAUUUUAUUAAUUCAGACCAUAUUUUCCAGAUCACUUUUAUAACAGCAUAAAGUUGCUGCAUCAGGAUUCCUAGAUACAUGAGAUUCUUCACAGCAUCAUAAAAAUGUAGGAUUGGAAGGGAUCUUGAGAAGUCCUCAAGUCCAGCCCCCUGCGCUGAGACAGAACCUAGUAAACCUAGACCAUGCCUGACAAAUGUUUGUCCAACUUGUUCAUAUGAACUUCCAAUGAUGGAAAUUCAACAAUUUCCCUUGGUAACUUAUUCCAGAACUUAACUAUCCUUAUAGUUAAAAAGUUUUUCCUAAUAUCUAACCUAAAUCUCCCUUGCUGCAGGUGUCCCACCUCCAAGAGCCAUGGAGAACAAUUGAACACUGUUCUCUUUGAACAGCCCAUAACAUAUUUGAAGACCUGUUAUCAGGUCUCUCCUCAGUUUUCUUUUCUCAAGAGUAAACAUGCCCAGCUUUUUCUAACCUUUCCUCAUAGGUUAGGUUUUCUAAACCUUUUUAACAUUUUUGUUGCUCUCCUCUGGACUCUCUCCAAUUUGUCCAUCUUCUUCCCUAAAACGUGGUGCCCAGAAUUGGACACAGUAUUCCAGCUGAGGCUUCACCUGUUCAGUUUCCUCUUGUCUUACAUACAUUACUGUUAAUACAUCUGGUAUUUGGGGUUUUUGUUUUUGCAACUGCAUCACACUGUUGGCUCAUAUUUGCUAACCCUCCUAGCUUGGUGUUGUCCACAGAUUUUGUAAGCAUACUCUCCACUCAAUUAUCCAAGUCAUUUACUAGUACUGGACCCAUGUGAGACCCCACCAGAUACAUCUUUCAGUUUGACUGUGAACCAUUGAUAACUACUCUCUCUUUUUUUAGCUUGGCAUUUUAACCAGUUAUGCACCCACCUUGUAGUAAUUUCAUGUAGACCACAUUUCCCUAUUGUGCUUAUGAAGAUGUCACAACUUGAAAUUUACAAAUUCAUUGGUUCUUAAAAAUUAACUUCACACCAUGUGCUAUUAUUCUUCCUUCCAACUCAUACAAUGUCAAUAAAAUAUUGCUAAUGUCCGUCAGGAACCAUUCAUCUAUUAUUUUCCUCCCUUGUCAUUCAUCCAUUUGUAUUUUACCCUUUCAUUCCUUUCGGGGGUGGUUCAUUCAGGGUGAAAAAAUCAUACAUUUUUUGACAUGGGUAUC